GUUGAUGGUGGAAGAACUAACUUAAUGUUGACGGGGUAGGGUGGGGGUACUACCAUCCCUAUGGUGGGGUGGGAGCCACUUAAUACCAGGAGCUGUUGGAGAACUUCAGGGUGGUGCCUGCUGCCCAUGUCCCGCUGACGGUCCAGCCUCCCUUUCAGAGCACCGUACGGCUAUUAAGAUGGAUAAAAUGACAUGAAAUAGAUACUGUUCCAGGUGCUGGUGACAAUUAAGGAACUAGAAACACAAGUUUCCAGCCCUGAAGACAGCCUCUUAGCUGAGACAGACAACAAACAAUUUCUGCCUCAAAGCUUUCAUGGAAUGAGACGAGGACUACAUAUAUAAUCCACACUGCACAUGCAACAAUGCAAAGUGGCUCCUCUAUGCAAGGCACUUCAACAGAAGCACAGCAUUAACAUCAGAAAUGGAAGAGACCUCAUAGAUCAUCUAAUCCAACUCACCCUUCUACAGAUCAAGCGGAAACUUCUGUUCCUCUGAUGCACUUGAUAACCAUCUUAAGGUUUAUUUGGCCAUCCUGUCAGCCUUCACACAAUAAUGGCAGACGCUAUUCUGUAUUAU
rnacentral:lncRNA from 1 species